UACAGAGGUCUCAAGCGUUGUUCGGAUUCAUUGGGCGUAAAGGGUGCGUAGGCGGCGCGGUAAGUCGGGUGUGAAAUCUCGGAGCUUAACUCCGAAACUGCAUUCGAUACUGCCGUGCUUGAGGACUGGAGAGGAGACUGGAAUUUACGGUGUAGCGGUGAAAUGCGUAGAUAUCGUAAGGAACACCAGUGGCGAAGGCGGCUACCUGGGCCAGUUCUGACGCUGGAGGCGCGAAAGCGUGGGGAGCAAACAGG
rnacentral:rRNA from 1 species